UCUCCUACGGGACGCAGCAGUGGGGGAUAUUGCACAAUGGGGGAAACCCUGAUGCAGCGACGCCGCGUGGGGGAAGAAGCGCCUCGGCGCGUAAAGCCCUGUCAGCAGGGAAGAAAAUGACGGUACCUGAAGAAGAAGCCCCGGCUAACUACGUGCCAGCAGCCGCGGUAAUACGUAGGGGGCAAGCGUUAUCCGGAUUUACUGGGGGUAGAGGGGGCGCAGACGGCGAUGCAAGCCAGGAGUGAAAGCCUGGGGCCCAACCCCGGGACUGCUCUUGGAACUGCGUGGCCAGA
rnacentral:rRNA from 1 species